rnacentral:rRNA from 1 species
UACAGAGGAUGCAAGCGUUAUCCGGAAUGAUUGGGCGUAAAGCGUCUGUAGGUGGCUUUUUAAGUCCGCCGUCAAAUCCCAGGGCUCAACUCUGGACAGGCGGUGGAAACUACCAAGCUGGAGUACGGUAGGGGCAGAGGGAAUUUCCGGUGGAGCGGUGAAAUGCGUAGAUAUCUGGAGGAACACCGGUGGCGAAGGCGGCAUCCUGGACCAACACUGACGCUGAGUGAGCGAAAGCCAGGGGAGCAAACGGG